ensembl:rRNA 5S_rRNA 5S ribosomal RNA
AGUGACAGCCAUAUCACCCUGAAGCCUAAGUGUCAGGUUAUUCACUGACACUAAGCAGGGCUUAGCCUGGUUAGCACCUGGAUGAGAGACCACAUUUGAAAACUAGGAUGCUGUUGGAA